rnacentral:tRNA from 1 species
AAGAGCUUAAGUUAAUACUAAACUAAAAGCCUUCAAAGCUUUAUAUAAGAGUGCAAAUCUCUUAGCCCUUA